GAGACCGGUCGCGUAUCUCAGCGUUGGACUGUUCGGGCACCCGUCCGCCUGUUUUUCUGUUUUGGUAUUUAGCCUGGUUUGGUGGCCUCCCGGCGAAUUAUUGCGUUCAUUCGGAACUUCGACAAGGCAGCACUGCACUAUUGGACUACGGCAAGCCUGGGUCUUGACUGGCCGAGGUACGUCCUAACGGCGUGCUCCGUUGUACGGAAACUUCCUCUCCCUCGGACGCAGCCAAGAGUCCAGGCGUGGAACACUGUCAUCUAAUAGGCCCACGGCUCCCUGCUGCACUGCCACCGGGGCACACCACCGUGCUGCCACCUGGUGGCCCCUGGACGACCCACACCGGCCCUGCUUCCUGGUCUUGCCGCUGCCUGCUGCCUCUCGGAGACUCCUG